rnacentral:rRNA from 1 species
AUGCAAAGAACUUUGAAAAGAGAGUUAAAGAGUACCUGAAAUUGUGGCAGGGGAAGUGAAGGAAACCAGUCCAUAGUUGAGUCAUAUUUCCUGCACUGCUUGCAGUGUGGGCGCUGUGGCUUGGCGCCGGGCCAACACCGGUCUUUACCUCAGGGCAUGUGGCUUGUAGGGAGGUGGCCCCCUUGCGGGGUGUCUGCCCUAUUUGUCUGGUCCUGGGGGAGGCCGAGGCUAGUCGCUUUAUUGCGCUCGUGGUGUUGGUGAAAUGGUUUUCUUUACCCCGUCUUGAAACACGGACCAAGGAGUCUAACAUGUGUGCGAGUAAAAGGGUGACAAACCCCAAUGCGAAAUGAAAGUAAAACUGGUGUGACUCUGGGUGUCAAACCCUGGAUGCAACAUCCACCGGCCAACAUCCCUCGGGAGAAAGGUCUGAGUGUUAGCACACAUGUUGGGACCCGAAAGAUGGUGAGCUAUGCCUGAGUAGGAUGAAGCCAGGGGAAACUCUGGUGGAAGUUCGUAGCGAUUCUGACGUGCAAAUCGAUCGUAAAACUUGGGUAUAGGGGCGAAAGACUAAUCGAACCAUCUAGUAGCUGGUUCCCUCCGAAAUUUCCCUCAUGAUAGCUGCGACCGCGAAAACUUUUAUUA